rnacentral:rRNA from 1 species
GAUGAACGCUAGCGGCAGGCCUAAUACAUGCAAGUCGAACGGUAAGGCCCUUUCGGGGGUACACGAGUGGCGGACGGGUGCGUAACGCGUAUGCAACAUGCCUUCCAGCGGGGGAUAUACCAGGGAAACUUGGCGCAAUACCCCAUAGAAUUACGGGACCGCAUGGUCUUGUGAUUAAAACUCCGGUGCUGGGAGAUUGGCAUGCGUGACAUUAGCUAGUUGGCGGGGUAACGGCCCACCAAGGCGACGAUGUCUAGCUGGUCUGAGAGGAUGAUCAGCCACACUGGGACUGAGACACGGCCCAGACUCCUACGGGAGGCAGCAGUGGGGAAUUUUGGACAAUGGGCGCAAGCCUGAUCCAGCAAUGCCGCGUGCAGGAAGAAGGCCUCGGUU